UGGAGCUAUGUUUACUUUGUUCAUCACUAUAUAAUCAGAAGCUUGUACAUAGUUAUUGCUGAGUGAAUAUUGAUUGUAUGGAUGACUACUCUCCUUG
ensembl:miRNA MIR9836 microRNA mir-9836